GCCUCGGUGGUGGGUGGUCCACAUCUGCGUUUGGUUAUCGUCUGCACUCACGGUUUGAAGCACUUAGCAGACAUCGCCUGUUCGAAUCAGGCCCGAGGCA